AAGGAAAUUAUGGCGCUAAAUGAAAUAGUAAUGGCGCCUUAACUUUGUUUUCAGCUGAAAUUGGUUCUCUACCCUAAGUUACCAUCCCGCCUCUCUCCUAUGCUAGGUGUCUCUCUCGAUCUCUCACUCUCUUUCUCACAUGGCCGAAAAAUGAAGAAGGCUUGGAUGAAUGGAAGGGUACGUACAGAGGCUUCUCUAGGAGACAGGCUUCGAACAGAGAUGAUGCGACAACACCAUUGUUUGACGAUGUGCGACAGGGUGAUGGAACUUGAGGCUUGGGGCGUGCGACAGGGAGGUUUGGUCAUUUAUUCUACAGGGUGGCUCAGUGUGUGGGUGUGAUGGGGCUUGCAGGGGCAGUUCGUGAGACGGGUUCGACUUCGGCAAGGUUGUACUUCAACAAAUGAUUUCUUCUAGGGGAUUUUACUUUGAUUUCCAAAAGGCAUGUGAAGCAUUAAGAAAUUGAAGAUAAGGUCAGUUGAAUUCAAAGUUCUCUUCUUUUUCUGGAAAAUUGUUUUCUUUUUCUGUGAAUGAAUUAUACUGAUUCUUGUUUAUUACUUUUGUUUCAGGUUAUCUGGAUUACUAGUGCCAGUCGUGGAAUUGGUACAUAUAUAUAUUUACAUUUUUGUUUCAAAAUUUCAUUUUCUGUAUGUGUACUGGUUAAUUGAACUAUAUUUUUGUUAUUUCUUAAUUAUUUUCUUCUAGGGUGUUUAAAUUAGUUAAAUACUUUAUGUUAAUGCCACUUCAUUGGACAAGGUUUAUAAAAUUUUGGGCUAUUCUUUUCUUAAAUGAUUAAAACACAUAUUUUAAAUAUUCUUAGUUGGGUUUCUCUUCAAGUUGUAAUUUAAAAAAAACAAAAACAAAAACAAAGACGCAUUGUUGCUUCAAAAUCUUCAUGUGUUCCUUUAUGCUGGUAGUUGUCACCACAAAUGUGUCAAGAUUAUGAUAUACUCAAUCAAAUUGGUUCGUGUUGUUAGAAUCAUUGUAAGCUGACACAUAACGCACAAUUUAACCUUUAUUGGAUUCAUUGUUGUUACUUAGCUUCACUGUGUGCAAAGGUACACUAGCAUGAAGAACUGCCAUAUACUGUGUUGAGCUAGUUUGAGGAUAAUGUAGAUCUUUAGUUUAGAGUUUAGGCAGUCUAAAAUAACUUAGGGGGUUCUUUGUAGAACUUUAGUUUAGAGUUUAGGCAGUCUAAAAGUAAAGUCUUUUAUAAGCAUAUGAACUUUUAGAAAGGAUAACAAUUUUUGUAAAUUGAGAUUACUACUAGGAACUUAGCAUAUUUGUAAAUUGAGGCUCGUUGAUGGUCUUUUUUGAUAUUAUUCCAUUACACAUUGCAUUUUUAUUAUAAAGUUGUCUCUGUAAGAUUAUCUAUUAUACUCAUGCCUAAUUAAUCUUUGAGUGACAUUUGACUUUGUUGCAGA